AAAGACCGAAUUCUUCGGUUUUUAUGUCCAACGUUUGACCGUCCGUCUUAUAUGAAAUUUUUUUAUGAUUAGUAUUUUCAUUAUUGUUAGAUGAUAAAACAAGAAUAAUACUUUAUGCAUGACUUAUCUUUUUAAAUUUUUUUCAUAUUUUUUUUAAAUAAGAUGAACGGUCAAACGUUAGACACGGAAACCCAAGAAUUGAGUUACU
rfam:Oryza nivara chromosome 11, whole genome shotgun sequence.